CUCAGGGACUAGGAAUUAUUGGAUUGCUAUGGACGGGUUUUUGCAGCCUAUCCUAUUCCUCGAUGGAGCAGGACAAGGGAGUGAGCAGGGCUGGGUCAGCCUCAAACCUUAAGUUCCACAGAGCCCCCCAGGACUGGGUAGGAGAAAUGGACCUGAGGACUGCACCUGCAUGUGAUUGGCAGGUCUGGGACUGCAGAGGUCCAUAAAGACUAAUCACAGUCAUCGUUGUAGAUCCCAGAAGAGCGCAACCAGUUUUAUACCCCACUCCCACAAAACUUUGUUGAGAGUUUUCUGAAGGCAUGUCGCAGAAGUGCACAGGAGAAUUUGGAUGGAAGUUUGGAAAGGCAUCAAGGGCAUGAGAGCAUGAUCUUGCACUUCUAAACUGCGAGAUUGAAAACCCAGCCUUUAGAGAUCAGUUGGAGUUUUGCCAUUGACAUCAAUGAAACCUGGGCUCUCUCCUUUUUCCUGGUAAAUUACAUUGUCCUGAACGCUGAGAUCUUACUACUGCAUGUAGAGCUCAAUACAAGAGAGGUGCUGCGCUUCUCAAACGCCAUUUGUGACGUUAAUAUGAACACGAUGGGCAGCGCUUACACGACGAGGCUUCGGAAGCAGCAUCGUAUAGAGGUCUGCAGCAAGUCUUUAACCAAGAUUUUUGUGGAACACGGGUGUGAAGGAUACUGUGUGUGUGGAUAGAUUCCAAGAGACUCUAAAAGGUGAAAACAAAGAUGAUCCAGUUGACAAAGCAAGUUUGAACAUGCAGCUUCUCCAUGGAAGAGGCCCUUGUUGACUGGGGAAUGUUCCUCCAGGUGAGCUGAACUGUAAAACUCUGUUCUGCCAUUACUGUGGUGUCCUUUU
rnacentral:lncRNA from 1 species